rfam:Myotis davidii contig177676, whole genome shotgun sequence.
GGCAGUUCUCAGGUGACGUACCCCAGAAUCAGGCUCCCUCCUCUCUGGUUCUGGAUGCAUCACCCGAGAACCGCA